UUUGUCUUCUAACUGUUUGUGCUUUGUCAUCUCAGAAGAUGUGAUGACACAUUUGCCUGUGUGGCUUCUUGCAGAUGGCACGGAAAUUUUGUGAUCAAAUGAUCGCUGUUGGGACAGAGAUAUUUGGUGAGCUUCUCCCCAUCUUCCAUCAUGUAACGUAACCAUGAGAAUGGAGACACUCUUGGUGUGAGCGUGUAUGGGAAACUGUGCUGGAAGCAACCAAUAGUCUGGGCUAGGCAGAAGGGAGGGGAAAUCCUUUGCUAUGAGGAGCUCGUACCCAGCUCAAAUCCCUCACAGGCUGCCACCGGCACAGCAGUCAGACCUCCUGCCAAUCCCCCUGCACUCUCAAGAGACUGAUUAAAAGAAGAGAUCAAUGUAUGGCUCUGCAGCAAUUUCACACUCAGAGAAAAUUCCUUUUGCCUCUUGAUAUAAUUAAAACAACUGACACUUUUCUAUGUUAAUAAGUUACUUUAUUCCUUG
ensembl:lncRNA